GCGUAACGCGUGGGAAUCUGCCCUUGGGUUCGGAAUAACGUCUGGAAACGGACGCUAAUACCGGAUGAUGACGAAAGUCCAAAGAUUUAUCGCCCAGGGAUGAGCCCGCGUAGGAUUAGCUAGUUGGUGAGGUAAAGGCUCACCAAGGCGACGAUCCUUAGCUGGUCUGAGAGGAUGAUCGGCCACACUGGGACUGAGACACGGCCCAGACUCCUACGGGAGGCAGCAGUAGGGAAUAUUGGACAAUGGGGGCAACCCUGAUCCAGCAAUGCCGCGUGAGUGAUGAAGGCCUUAGGGUUGUAA
rnacentral:rRNA from 1 species